rnacentral:sRNA from 1 species
AAGGGACCUAGCGUAGUUCGGAAUUACUGGGCUUAAAGAGUUCGUAGGUGGUUGAAAAAGUUGGUGGUGAAAUCCCAGAGCUUAACUCUGGAACUGCCAUCAAAACUUUUCAGCUAGAGUAUGAUAGAGGAAAGCAGAAUUUCUAGUGUAGAGGUGAAAUUCGAAGAUAUUAGAAAGAAUACCAAUUGCGAAGGCAGCUUUCUGGAUCAUUACUGACACUGAGGAACGAAAGCAUGGGAAGCGAAGAGGAUUAGAUACCCUCGUAGUCCAUGCCGUAAACGAUGUGUGUUAGACGUUGGAAAUUUAUUUUCAGUGUCGCAGGGAAACCGAUAAACACACCGCCUGGGGAGUACGACCGCAAGGUUAAAACUCAAAUGAAUUGACGGGGACCCGCACAAGUAGUGGAGCAUGUGGUUUAAUUCGAAGAUACGCGCAGAACCUUACCAACACUUGACAUGUUCGUCGCGACUCUAAGAGAUUGGAGUUUUCGGUUCGGCCGGACGAAACACAGGUGCUGCAUGGCUGUCGUCAGCUCGUGUCGUGAGAUGUUGGGUUAAGUCCCGCAACGAGCGCAACCCUCACUUUUAGUUGCCAUCAUUAAGUUGGGCACUCUGAAAGAACUGCCAGUGAUAAGCUGGAGGAAGGUGGGGAUGACGUCAAGUCCUCAUGGCCCUUACGUGUUGUGCUACACACGUGCUACAAUGGCAUCUACAACAGGAAGCAAAACGGCAACGUUAAGCAAAUCCCGAAAAGAUGCCUCAGUUCGGAUUGCACUCUGCAACUCGAGUGCAUGAAGCUGGAAUUACUAGUAAUCGUGGAUCAGCGUGCCACGGUGAAUGCGUUCCCGGGUCUUGUACACACCGCCCGUCACACCAUGGGAGUUGGUUCUACCUUAAGGCAAGGUUUUAAACCCUUGACCACGGUAUAGUCUGCGACUGGGGUGAAGUCGUAACAAGGUAGCCGUAGGGGAACCUGCGGCUGGAUUACCUCCUUUCUAAGGAUGAGUGAAAGUAAAAUUUCACUCUAAAUAAUAUACAUCGGUAAUGUUGACCGUCCUCAUUUCUCUUCUUAAAGUGAUGUUUCCUUCUUGUAGGGCCGGUAGCUCAGUUGGUUAGAGCACACCCUUGAUAAGGGUGGGGUCGAAAGUUCGAGUCUUUCUCGGCCCACCAAAAACCUAAAUGGGGGAUUAGCUCAUCUGGGAGAGCGCCUGAUUUGCAUUCAGGAGGUAGCAGGUUCGAUCCCUGUAUCCUCCACCAGGAAACAUUUAGUUAUUAAAACUGUAAAUAAAAAUAAUUUAUAUCAAUAUCUAUAUCCGAACAUUAAAAGUUAUUAUUUAAUGUUCAAAAUAAAAUUUGAUCACAACAUAGAUAAAUUUUCUGUAAAAAGAAUUUUUUUCUGUGCAUAAAUCAAGCGUUUAAGGGCGCGUAGUGGAUGCCUUGGCACUGAAAGCCGAUGAAGGACGUGAUAUACUGCGAUAAGUUUCGGGGAGCUGUAUGUAAGCUUUGAUCCGAAAAUUU